UACGGAGGGGGCGAGCGUUGUCCGGAAUCACUGGGCGUAAAGGGCGCGUAGGUGGCGCGGUCAGUCAACGGUGAAAGUUCGGGGCUCAACCCUGAAUCGGCCGUCGAUACUCCCGGGCUUGAGCACUGUAGAGGCAGAUGGAAUUCCGGGUGUAGCGGUGGAAUGCGUAGAGAUCCGGAAGAACACCGGUGGCGAAGGCGGUCUGCUGGGCAGUAGCUGACACUGAGGCGCGACAGCGUGGGGAGCAAACAGG
rnacentral:rRNA from 1 species